rnacentral:rRNA from 1 species
UACGGGGGGGGUAAGCGUUGUUCGGAAUUACUGGGCGUAAAGGGCUCGUAGGCGGCCAACUAAGUCGGACGUGAAAUCCCUCAGCUUAACUGGGGAACUGCGUCCGAUACUGGAUGGCUUGGAUUUGGGAGAGGGAUGCGGAAUUCCAGGUGUAGCGGUGAAAUGCGUAGAUAUCUGGAGGAACACCGGUGGCGAAGGCGGCAUCCUGGACCAAUACUGACGCUCAGGUGCGAAAGCGUGGGGAGCAAACAGG